UGAGUAACACGUGGGUGAUCUGCCCUGCACUCUGGGAUAAGCUUGGGAAACUGGGUCUAAUACCGGAUAGGACCAUGGGAUGCAUGUUCUGUGGUGGAAAGCUUUUGCGGUGUGGGAUGGGCCCGCGGCCUAUCAGCUUGUUGGUGGGGUGAUGGCCUACCAAGGCGACGACGGGUAGCCGGCCUGAGAGGGUGUCCGGCCACACUGGGACUGAGAUACGGCCCAGACUCCUACGGGAGGCAGCAGUGGGGAAUAUUGCACAAUGGGCGCAAGCCUGAUGCAGCGACGCCGCGUGGGGGAUGACGGCCUUCGGGUUGUAAACCUCUUUCAGUAUCGGCGAAGCUCCCGAAUUUUUUUGGGGGUGACGGUAGGUACAGAAGAAGCACCGGCCAACUACGUGCCAGCAGCCGCGGUAAUACGUAGGGUGCGAGCGUUGUCCGGAAUUACUGGGCGUAAAGAGCUCGUAGGUGGUUUGUCGCGUUGUCCGUGAAAACUCACAGCUUAACUGUGGGCGUGCGGGCGAUACGGGCAGACUGGAGUACUGUAGGGGAGACUGGAAUUCCUGGUGUAGCGGUGGAAUGCGCAGAUAUCAGGAGGAACACCGGUGGCGAAGGCGGGUCUCUGGGCAGUAACUGACGCUGAGGAGCGAAAGCGUGGGGAGCGAACAGGAUUAGAUACCCUGGUAGUCCACGCCGUAAACGGUGGGUACUAGGUGUGGGUUUCCUUCCUUUAGGGAUCCGUGCCGUAGCUAACGCAUUAAGUACCCCGCCUGGGGAGUACGGCCGCAAGGCUAAAACUC
rnacentral:rRNA from 1 species